ensembl:lncRNA
GUUUGUGCCUCCAGCUGCAGAUCUGCGAUCAGGAGUGUGCUGCUUCCAUUUCCUCUCUUAUCUCCAUUUUCCUCUCUCUGUUGCGUUUCUGCCACCUGGAAGUUAGAGCGCUGGAUGACGGGAACUAGAUCAGGAUUUCAAAGACAUUUGGAGUGUAAUUCCCAGUGAUUUCAGAGCAAGUAAGGCACCUUUGGGACUGCAUUGUACCUGCUACCGAGGCGCUCAGAGCAUCCUUGGGGUCUGGUGUCCGGUGUGUUUGGCCAGGAACCUGCUUGCAGUUGGGUCCCACCACCUCCUGCACUUGCAGAGGAUCCUCAGGCUCCUGCAAACAGGAUUCCAGCUAUCUCUUCUGUGCUAUGUCAUCUUUGCAAGGGAAAAUGAGACAGCUGCAGGCCAAGGAGUCAUGGACUGCAGAGGGAUGACCAUGAAUGUGAGUUUUCCGAAGUGCCAGUGGCCGCCUCGGCUGUGUGGACCAGGCUGAGUCCUCCUGCACGUGCCGCACGGAGGAGCCCAGCCCGUCCCAGACCUGCCCGGCGAAGCCUCCUGGUGCUCCGGCAAGGCUGUAACACAGAAAUGUAGUUUAACCAGUGCUAUUAACAUAUGGUGAAAAAACAGGCCAUUAGCCCCACCGGGAUAGCUGGUACGGGUGACGUUGGCGGUAAGGCACUGCUUCUGCGAGGUGCAGCCCGUUACGAACGCCCAGCUUUUCUCACGUCUCUGCUGCGGCUGAGACCGGCUGCGUGGGAAGCGCAGCCUCGUCAUGCAGGAAAAGGCUCUAGAAGGAAAAAGGCAGAGAAGUGUUGAACGCAGGAGGACAACAGCAAGGAGGAGGAGGUCCAGGUUCCUGCAUCCUUUCUGCCUGAAUGGCUCUGGGGUACCGUGGCGCGUGCAACAUCUAAUGCCUCAUCGCUCCUGCAGGACGGCGGUCGUUUCGGCUGCAUCGCGCAGGACGAGCGUCAGCACCCGGGAAGGGCUCCGGGCGCUGGCAGGAGCAGGAUUGCACCGCCUUUUCUGCACGCUCCCACACCGGGCACGGCAGUCUCGCAGCUCUGCCCCUGCUUGCGCUGGACGGGGCCAGCACCUCUCUGCUCGCCGCCUCUCGAACCCUGGGCUAGCGCCGGUCCGAUGGCUCGCGCCAACCUUCGCGUGCUGCCUGGAGAGACGCAGGGCUGGAGCAGAGCUGCUCGCAAGAAGUUCAGGCCUGUGGACCCUCGUAUUUGCUAAGGAUGCUGCUUUUUGGUUGAUUUCGUGCUGCACGCGUGGGAGCUGCAGGAGCCCUCUCCUCCGUGGGUGCUGUAGCAGUGAGCGACCGGACUCGGUUUCCCCUCGCUGUAGCCACGAGCAGCGCAUGCUUGCCAGCAUUUUCCACAUACACCAUAUUUUCAGCACAAAGCAGUGUUCUUAA